rnacentral:rRNA from 1 species
UACGGAGGGGGCAAGCGUUGUUCGGAAUUACUGGGCGUAAAGGGCUCGUAGGCGGCCAACUAAGUCGGACGUGAAAUCCCCAGGCUCAACCUGGGAACUGCGUCUGAUACUGGAUGGCUUGAAUCCGGGAGAGGGAUGCAGAAUUCCAGGUGUAGCGGUGAAAUGCGUAGAUAUCUGGAGGAAUACCGGUGGCGAAGGCGGCAUCCUGGACCGGAAUUGACGCUGAGGAGCGAAAGCCAGGGGAGCAAACGGG